UCAAAUCUAGGCAACAAAUUGGCUGCUGUUAUCUUGGAACUGAGGAUGAAAAAGUUGAAGGGAAAAGGCACUUGCUUCAUGACAUUCUCUUACCCCUUCAGUCCCUGCUAUAUGCAGAAAGUGGAGAUGGGUCGUUAUUAUCAAAGAAUCAGACACAACACAACAUAAUUAAUAAAUGGAGCUUAGGGUUACAGCAGUUGGGAAAUGGUUUCUUUCCUUCUAUCAAAACUCUUGUGUUCCAAGUCCAAGAUCAAUGGACCAUGCUUGACGACAAGCACUUUCUUAAAAUAACAACAACAUGAACUAAAAAUAAGACAAAUUGAGCCGUUUCUCUCCACAUGCAUUGUGUUUUGUUUCAUGGAUGCACAUAAAGACGUACCCAUAUUAUUAAAAAGGGAAAUAAGCACAUGGUAGCGCUGACAACUAACUCUGUUUAAUGCAAUGCAGAUUAAACCAAUUUGUUUCAAGAGUUGUUUGAAGCCACUAACAAAUAUCACAAGAAACAAAAACAAGAGUGUUCAGUAGCAACAAACAGAUCUUGCAAGCUGCAAAGCCUCACGGACCAAUUUCUUUAAGGAAAUAUUGUGUCCUGAAUUUAAAAAAAAAAAAGAAAAGAAAUUAUGACAUGAACAGAACACGUAGAUGCAUACAUAGAAUAUUUUUAUUUGAAAAUAAAAGUUUUUUUUUAGUACAAAUCAAUAAGAUAAGAUAAAACAAACUACAAAGGGAGAAUGAACAGUUUAGGUUGCAGGGCGCUUAGCUGAUUGCCCUUCUACAAUCUCAGAGGCUGUAAUGGAAUAAUCCCCCAAGUUUUGCUCCACAGGACACUGCAAAUUAGGGAAGUAACAACAUCAGAUUUUGUAAUAAUAAGCGUGAAAAUUCUAAAAAGAAUGAAAAAAAAAAAACAAGAGGAAUAGUCUGUCCGACAACUGUGUGACCAUCCCAACCAGACAAGAUAAGCUGAGAACGAUCCUCUUCUGUGUAGGUGAACCAGCAAGGCAUAACCGCACCAAAUUCGUG
rnacentral:lncRNA from 1 species